CCUACGGGUGACAGCAGUGGGGAAUAUUGGGCAAUGGGCGCAAGCCUGACCCAGCAACGCCGCGUGAAGGAAGAAGGCUUUCGGUUUGUAAACCUCUUUUGGCAGGGAAGAGAAGAAGGAGGUACCUUUCCAAUAAACCACGGCUAACUACGUGCCAGCAGCCGCGGUAAUACGUAGGGGGCAAGCGUUGUUCGGAAUUACUGGGUGUAAAGGGCGGGUAGCCGGGCUGACAAGUCAGAUGUGAAAUGCGGGGGCUCAACCCCCGAACUGCAUUGGAAACUGUUGGUCUGGAGUGGCGGAGAGGCAGGCGGAAUUCCUAGUGUAGCGGUGAAAUGCGUAGAUAUUAGGAGGAACACCAGUGGCGAAGGCGGCCUGCUGGACGACAACUGACGGUGAGGCGCGAAAGCGUGGGGAGCAAACAGGAUUAGAUACCCCUGUAGUC
rnacentral:rRNA from 1 species